rnacentral:rRNA from 1 species
AGUCGAACGGCAGCACGGACUUCGGUCUGGUGGCGAGUGGCGAACGGGUGAGUAAUGUAUCGGAACGUGCCUAGUAGCGGGGGAUAACUACGCGAAAGCGUAGCUAAUGCCGCAUACGCCCUUCGGGGGAAAGCAGGGGACCUUCCGGGCCUCGCACUAUUAGAGCGGCCGAUAUCGGAUUAGCUAGUUGGUGGGGUAACGGCUCACCAGGCGACGAUCCGUAGCUGGUUUGAGGAGACGACCAGCCACACUGGGACUGAGACGGCUGGCCCGGAGCUCCCUACGGGAGGCAGCAGUGGGGAAUUUUGGACAAUGGGGAAACCUGAUCCAGCCAUCCCGCGUGUGCGAUGAAGGCCUUCGGGUUGUAAAGCACUUUUGGCAGGAAAGAAACGGCACGGGAUAAUACCCCGUGCAACUGACGAAACCUGCAGAAUAAGCACCGGCUAACUACGUGCCAGCAGCCGCGGUAAUACGUAGGGUGCAAGCGUUAAUCGGAAUUACUGGGCGUAAAGCGUGCGCAGGCGGUUCGGAAAGAAAGAUGUGAAAUCCCAGAGCUUAACUUUAGACACCAUUUUUAACUACCGAGCUAGAGUGUGUCAGAGGGAGGUGGAAUUCCGCGUGUAGCAGUGAAAUGCGUAGAUAUGCGGAGGGAACACCGAUGGCGAAGGCAGCCUUUCCUGGGAUAACACUGACGCUCAUGCACGAAAGCGUGGGAGCAAACAGGAUUAAGAUACCUGGUAGUCCACGCCCUAAACGAUGUCAACUAGCUGUUGGGGCCUUCGGGCCUUGGUAGCGCAACUAACGCGUGAAGUUGACCGCCUGGGGAAGUACGGUCGCAAGAUUAAAACUCAAAGGAAUUGACGGGGACCCGCACAAGCGGUGGAUGAUGUGGAUUAAUUCGAUGCAACGCGAAAAACCUUACCUACCCUUGACAUGUCUGGAAUCCCGAAGAGAUUUGGGAGUGCUCGCAAGAAACCGGAACACAGGUGCUGCAUGGCUGUCGUCAGCUCGUGUCGUGAGAUGUUGGGUUAAGUCCCGCAACAGGCGCAACCCUUGUCAUUAGUUGCUACGAAAGGGCACUCUAAUGAGACUGCCGGUGACAAACCGGAGGAAGGUGGGGAUGACGUCAAGUCCUCAUGGCCCUUAUGGGUAGGGCUUCACACGUCAUACAAUGGUCGGGACAGAGGGUCGCCAACCCGCGAGGAGGAGCCAAUCCCAGAAACCCGAUCGUAGUCCCGGAUCGCGGUCUGCAACUCGACUGCGUGAAGUCGGAAUCGCUAGUAAUCAUAGCGGAUCAACGCCUCGCGGUGAAUACGUUCCGGUCUUUACACCGCCCCGUCACACCAUGGGAGUGGGUUUUUUACCAGAAGUAGUUAGCCUAACCGUAAGGAGGGCGAUUACCACGGUAGGGAUUCAUGGCUUGGGGUGAAGUCGUAACAAGGUAG